GAAAUGCGAUAUGUAAUGCGAAUUGCAGAUAUUUUGAGCACUAAAGUUUCGAAUGCACAUUGCGCCAUUGGAUUUUAUCCUUUGGCACGUCUGGCUCAGGGUCGUAAAUAGCAAACGCCAAGCAAAUGGUGGUGAUUCGACGUGUGGCUUUGAUCUUUGUUUCUUCAUUGACCGAGCACUUGCUUAUUUGUGCAGAUUUGUUGGUCAAUUUGUUGUUGGACAACGUUCCCACUUGAGGAGGAGGAGCAGCUGCUCAAUCGAUUUUGGUACCACUUGCUGUAAGUCCUAGCGAUUACUAUGGACUUGUGCUUUGGGAUCGAAAUUUUUUGAGCAGUCGAUUUUUCGACCUGAACUCAGACGUGAUUACCCGCUGAACUUAA
rnacentral:misc_RNA from 1 species